GACGAACGCUGGCGGCGUGCUUAACACAUGCAAGUCGAGCGGAGCUGCGAACGGGUGAGUAACGCGUGAGUAACUGCCCCCCUCUCUGGGAUAACAGUUGGAAACGGCUGCUAAUACCGGAUAGUGUGGGAUGACUCGCGUCCUAUCAGCUUGUUGGUGGGGUAGUUGCCUACCAAGGCGACGACCGGUAGCCGGCCUGAGAGGGCGACCGGCCACAUUGGGCUGAGAGACGGCCCAAACGCAUACGGGAGGCAGCAGGGGGGAAUAUUGCACAAUGGGGGAACCCCUGAUGAAGCAACGCCGCGUGCGGGAUGACGGCCUUCGGGUUGUAAACCGCUUUCAGCCAUGACGCGGUAGUGGCAGAAGAAGCACCGGCUAACUACGUGCCAGCAGCCGCGGUAAUUC
rnacentral:rRNA from 1 species